GGCGGUUUUACCCUUCUGUUUCUCUCAUUUACGGGAUGCCAUCGUUCUAUGGUCAAGUCGAGUUCGUUCGUGGUUUCUGGAGAAAGCAGUCGAAACAGAGAGAGAGAGAGAUAGCGAAAGAGAGCUAGAGAGAGUGGAGAUUCCGUUUUUCUGUGAGGAGGAAGAAGAUCUGCGUCUUGGAUAGUUCUGCCGUCUACCUUUUGGGGUAUUGUUCGGUUUUGCUGUGAGGAGGAAGAGGACCUGCGUUUUGGAUAACUCUGCGUUUUGAGCCAAGGAGAAGAUGAGGGAUUUGGGUAUAUGGUUGUGAUCGAUACUUAGUUUUUGGGAGAUUAGUUUCAGCACCAACCCAGUAUCUGACAUCUGAGAAGUUAAGCAUUGGAAAAACCAAGUUCAAGGCUUUUGAUUUGGGUGGCAUCAGAUUGCUUGCAGAUUUUGGACAGAUUUUCAUCAGCUCUGUUUCACAACUGGAAAUCACUGAGCAAGAGGAAAAAAAUCAAACAAUAGCUUCAUCUGUUCACUGUCAAAGAUAAAUGAAGCUACAGUUAUAAGAAAAUGAGUGACAUUUCUUAUUCCAAUGCCAAUGCCAAUGUGAAUGGAAAUGGAAAUGUUGUGAAUGGUUACUAGAAGAGCUGCUGGUACGAGAAGGAAAUCGAAGAAACCUUAGGCUGGAGCUUUGCUUUUAAUAUGUAUAGUUACUUAUGUAUACAUUUUCAGUACAAUCAGUUACAUUAAUUUAGUAAUCUUGGCUUCUACAUCA